rnacentral:tRNA from 1 species
UAGAGCAUCAGACUACGGAUCUGAGGGCUGGGGGUUCAAGUCCCUCCGGGCGCG